AAUAUAAUUUUCGAUGUUUGAAAUUUAUUGAAUGAGUCGAAAAUUACUUUCCCUUCAGUAUGAAUUUGCCGCUAGAGGCGCUCUAGAAGCACGAGGUUUUCGUGCAUGGUUAAAACGUGGUCAGUUUUCGUCAUUCAGCUUUGGGAACUCGCACGGUAUACAUGUUAUUUUUUUAAAUAAUGUGUUAAUAUUUCAUAUUAUGGAAAUUAUAUAUGAAAUUGAAUAAUUGAUAUAUGUAUUGAACUAAAUUAACAUAGAAUGUCACUGUAUGAUGACUGUUAGAAAGAUUGUAUUAUGUGAUGUAUGUUUGACGUUUUGAUGAUAGUUAUUAUGUUAAGUAUAAUAAUAAAUGGACAGCCGGUAUGCGAGUCCCUGCGGCUAGUACCAAAAAACAGA